rfam:Leptosomus discolor contig35884, whole genome shotgun sequence.
CCCAUCAAUCGCUCAGUAGUCAGUGUAGAUUCUGUCUUUACCAUCAGCAGCUACAUCUGGCUACUGGGUCUCUGAUGACAUCU